rnacentral:rRNA from 1 species
UCCAGACUCCUACGGGAGGCAGCAGUGAGGAAUAUUGGUCAAUGGGCGCGAGCCUGAACCAGCCAAGUCGCGUGAGGGAAGACGGUCCUAUGGAUUGUAAACCUCUUUUGUCGGGGAGCAAAAGACGCCACGUGUGGCGUUCCGAGAGUACCCGAAGAAAAAGCGUCGGCUAACUCCGUGCCAGCAGCCGCGGUAAUACGGAGGAUGCGAGCGUUAUCCGGAUUUAUUGGGUUUAAAGGGUGCGCAGGCGGAAGAUCAAGUCAGCGGUAAAAUUGAGGGGCUCAACCUCUUCGAGCCGUUGAAACUGACGGUCUUGAGUGGGCGAGAAGUAUGCGGAAUGCGUGGUGUAGCGGUGAAAUGCAUAGAUAUCACGCAGAACUCCGAUUGCGAAGGCAGUAUACCGGCGCCCAACUGACGCUGAAGCACGAAAGCGUGGGUAUCGAACAGGAUUAGAUACCCUUGUAAU